rnacentral:rRNA from 1 species
GGGUGGAAUAUUGGGACAAUGGGCGCAAGCCUGAUCCAGCCAUGCCGCGUGUGUGAAGAAGGCCUUAUGGUUGUAAAGCACUUUAAGCGAGGAGGAGGCUACUUUAGUUAAUACCUAGAGAUAGUGGACGUUACUCGCAGAAUAAGCACCGGCUAACUCUGUGCCAGCAGCCGCGGUAAUUA